GGUACGCUGUUUAUAUCGUUAUCUAAGUAAUUUUUUGUGUCAACAAAAAUACAUUGGAAGCUCGUACUCUGAUUGUUGCGUAAAUGCCCUGGACUGGUUUUGGGGACUUACAUAUACAGACAGGAGAGCAUCCACCUGCUACAUGCAGGACGCAAAAACUUACUGGGGUCACGACUAAACGGGGUAUCC
rnacentral:other from 1 species